CAGGGAAGAGAGGACACAUGCUGCUGGCAUCCUCAAUAAGGUCUUUGUUUUUGUUUUGGCAGGUGGUGCUACCUACAUGUUGAGUUUUACAGCCUGAAUGGUACUUUCACCAUGGAGUCAGCUGUGCUAAGGUCUGGAGGCCUACUAAGAUAUGUGCACUGGCUAAUGGUUUCACUUCCGUCUCUGAUACCUGCUGCAGGCAUCUAUCAAAGGCAGCUGAGGAAAAGCCACCUUCCGAGACAUCUUGGUGACCCCCAAGAGAAGCCAUUGGCAUCUUUCUCUCCAAGGAAACCCCGCUACCCUGGAGGAAGAGAAAACAGAAAUAUCUUGGGAGUGUUCACCAGACCAGGAAAAUAAAGAGCCAACGGAUAGAAUUCUGUGAGGCACUGACAUCUGGACGUGAGAUGACUGCUACACUCAGGAACUCACAGAAUCUAUGAUGCCAGUCAGCAGCCAGCAUGGACAGGAGAGGAGACCAUGAGGCCCCAUGCCCAGCUGAGGAACCGCUGGCAGUUGAGGAAGAUGAC
rnacentral:lncRNA from 1 species